GACGAACGCUGGCGGCGUGCCUAAUACAUGCAAGUAGAACGCUGAAGGAGGAGCUUGCUCUUCUGGAUGAGUUGCGAACGGGUGAGUAACGCGUAGGUAACCUGCCUGGUAGCGGGGGAUAACUAUUGGAAACGAUAGCUAAUACCGCAUAAGAGUAGAUGUUGCAUGACAUUUACUUAAAAGGUGCAAUUGCAUCACUACCAGAUGGACCUGCGUUGUAUUAGCUAGUUGGUGGGGUAACGGCUUACCAAGGCGACGAUACAUAGCCGACCUGAGAGGGUGAUCUGCCACACUGGGACUGAGACACGGCCCAGACUCCUACGGGAGGCAGCAGUAGGGAAUCUUCGGCAAUGGACGGAAGUCUGACCGAGCAACGCCGCGUGAGUGAAGAAGGUUUUCGGAUCGUAAAGCUCUGUUGUAAGAGAAGAACGAGUGUGAGAGUGGAAAGUUCACACUGUGACGGUAUCUUACCAGAAAGGGACGGCUAACUACGUG
rnacentral:rRNA from 1 species